UACGGGGGGGGCAAGCGUUGUUCGGAAUUACUGGGCGUAAAGGGCUCGUAGGCGGCCAACUAAGUCAGACGUGAAAUCCCUAGGCUCAACCUAGGAACUGCGUCUGAUACUGGAUGGCUUGAAUCCGGGAGAGGGAUGCAGAAUUCCAGGUGUAGCGGUGAAAUGCGUAGAUAUCUGGAGGAAUACCGGUGGCGAAGGCGGGAUCCUGGGCCAGUACUGACGCUGAGGAGCGAAAGCGUGGGGAGCAAACAGG
rnacentral:rRNA from 1 species